CGCCCUGUGGUGUAGUGGUUAGCAGCCCUAGGGUAACACACACACACUAUACACAUGCAUACACGCAUUACACACAUUACACUAGGGCCCCACCUCACAGCUUCACCACAAGGUCGGCGGUUCGAUUCCGGCCGGGGCAG